CAAAGCUUGCUUAUUUAACUUGCUUAUUGACACAAUCUAAAAAUAUUUUUGAUUUUCAAUAUUCAUAACCUACAGCUCGAUUUGUCAUUGAAAUUUGUUUAAAUUUUUGUAACCCAGUUGCUGCAUAUUCCUAAAGUGAAAAAUAUUUCACAAACUUUAUGCCCUACAGCCAUAUGGCAGUAAAACGCUCAUACGUCAUGUUGGUUAAGCAUUGAAGCUGCUGCUGUUGUGGGCGUUUAGUUACCCGCAGCAUAAUUGCAGCAAAGCAGUCAAAAUAGAGCAGACAAGGUAUGUUAAUGAUAGCAGGCAAAAGACGAGUUUAUUUAAUUAAUUUGCCAAGGCAACAAGGAGAAAAAAGAAAGGAAAUGCAGAGACGCACAGAGAAGCAAUGGCAUUGCUUUAAGAAAAGCAGCAACAGCUUAUGAGAAGGGAAGCAGGCAAAAAAAAAGCAAGGUAAAAAAUUAUCGCACUGCGUGACUGAGACGCAGUGAAGCAGACAAAACAAACUGCGCAGACAACGAGUAACUCAACAUACUGCAGCUCAACUGGAUAAACAGACGGGUGAAGAAAGAGUGAGUGAGUGGGAGAGAGAGGGAAAGACUGCCACACAUUGUGGCAAGUAUAUCCUUUUUACGGAGCACUGUAGUCAAGUCAUUUGUCUGCCUGAAUGCGAAGCCGUCUCAUCAGUGCGCCAACAUAAAGAAGGCAAAAGGAGAUGUGUAACAAACAAACUCAAAACCCAAACCAAAAGCAAAAAAAAGGGUAAGAACGCAUAGUUAUUUAUCAUGUUAUAAGUUAUGAUGUCAGCAUGCCGGCAUUAUGUGACUGAUAAGCGCCAGAAAAUGAGCACAAACACAUUCACACACACACACUCACUCACACAUGUGAAUGUCUUGCUUAAAUAACAUAAAUGGAAUGAAAAAUCGAGGUGUGAAAAA